CAGGAGUUACACGACGGAAGUCUCUCUGA
rnacentral:piRNA from 1 species